UCUAGAAACCUUGGACCACUGGACAAAACCCCGAGAGGGAUUAUCAGAAGAUCCUCUGACCAGUCCUGAGGAAAUCUGGUACACUGAUGGAAGCAGCUUUGUUUUGGAUGGAAAAAGAAGAGCCGGGGAUGCAGUAGUCUCCGAUUUUGAGACCACAGAGGCUAAGCCUCUGCCACCAGGUCAACCAGCUACAACAUGCAGUGCCAGUUCAACAAA